UACGUAGGGACCGAGCGUUGUCCGGAAUCAUUGGGGCGUAAAGAGCGUGUAGGCGGCUAUUUAAGUCCUGCGUGAAAUCCUGCGGCUCAACCGCAGACGGUCGUGGGGAAACUGGAUGGCUAGAGUGCGGGAGAGGAGAGUGGAAUUCCCGGUGUAGCGGUGAAAUGCGCAGAUAUCGGGAAGAACACCCGUGGCGAAGGCGGCUCUCUGGAACGCAACUGACGCUGAGACGCGAAAGCGUGGGGAGCAAACAGG
rnacentral:rRNA from 1 species